CUGGGGGACGAGGACCUCACCUGCAAGACAUGACUCCCAUGUGGCUCUUCCUCUUCCUGCUGUCAGCUCCCAGAUGUGUCCUGUCCCAGGUGCAGCUGCAGGAGUCGGGCCCAGGAGUGGUGAAGCCCUCACAGGCCCUCUCCCUCACCUGCUCUGUCUCCGGAUUCUCCAUCACAAGCACUUAUUCCUACUGGCAUUGGAUCCGCCAGGCUCCAGGGAAGGGGCUGGAGUGGAUGGGGUGCAUAUGGUAUAAUGGAAACACUUACUACAGCCCCUCCCUCAAGAGCCGAACCUCCAUCUCCCGAGACACGUCCAAGAACCAGUUCUCCCUGCAGCUGAGCUCCGUGACCACCGAGGACACAGCCGUGUAUUACUGUGCAAGAGACACAGUGAGGGGA